rnacentral:lncRNA from 1 species
CGCGGGGGCGCCCCCCUCGGCCGGGCGCUCGGGUUUCAGCCGCCGCUCCUCCGCGCCCCGCCCGCGCCUGGCCCGCUCGCCGGCGCCGGGAGAGACCUCGUAACGGAACUGGGACGCCAGCGCUGCAUUGUGGGAGCUUUUAAAGCGGCGGGGAGCUCGGCGCGACCCUCGGGCCCACCGGGCCACGCUCGCCCGGCCCGCGACGCCCCCCCGCUGUCGCCUGGCCCGCGACGCACCGAGGCCUGAGGACCCGAAAGCCGGGCGCGGGGAGAUGACCGGUGGCUCGUGACGGUCCCACGGGCAAAAUCUUCCAUCGCCCGGGGCUGAGACUUGUCAAACUGCCCUCUACGGUCACCCGGAAAGUAGGAGGCUUUUUCUGCAGAGGGGAAAAAAAUCAAAAAGAGCCGUUCCAUCCCCCCUCCAAGGACUGGGUUUGAAUUGCUUUUCAUCUGCAGUGGCUGUGAUUCAGCGUCCCUCUUAGCAGCAGGCAAUGACAGAGGCAGGAGAGGGGAAAAAAAAAAAGAAAGAAAGAAAAAACACAGCAAAUGAAUCAAACGGACCAGGUAGCAGGCAAGAGUGUGGUUAUCGUUGGACCAGGAUUCAGGAUCUGACUGAGUAGCUGACUCUUAAUCCAGUUUGUGUUGAUCACCAGGAGGAUCUGGACCUCAGUAUUACCACAUCUAGAGGUGAUAUGCCAACUCCACCUUUGCCUUCCACCAUGUUUGGAAGCUCCCUGAGGCCUCACCAGGAGCAGAUGCUCGUCCCAUGCUUCCUAUAAGCCUGCAGAACUGGAAAAGAAAGCUGGAUAAAGUAUUUAUAGAAGAUAGAGGACCUGUGGUGGCUCAUGCCUGUAAUCCAAGGUGGAAGGAUUGCUUGAGGCCAGAAGUUCAAGACCAGUCCAAGCAACAUAGCAAGGCCCCAUCUCUACAAAAAAUGAAAAUAAAAUUAGCCGAGCGUGAUGGCUCAUGCCUGUAGUUCUAGCUUCUAGAGAGGCUGAGGCAGGAGGAUUGCUUGAGUCCAGGAGUUCAAGAUUACAGUGAGCUAUGGUCACACCACUGCACUCCAGCCUGGGUGAUGGAGUGAGACUGUCUCAAUAAAAAGACAAAAAGGCUGGCCAGGGGCAGUGGUUCAUGCCUGUAAACCCAGCACUUUGGGAGGCAAAGGCAGGAGGAUUGCUUAAGCCCAGGAAUUUGAGAUCAGCCUGGACAACAUGGUCAAGGAAGCUUUUCCUGAUCCACUAACUAAGGACAAUCAAACCCUUCAUGAUCUAGAAUCUGGAGACUGUGUCUUCUGGGAAUAGUAUCAGAGAAAGACUGCCCUUACUGCCCACAUGUAGCAAAACUUUGAGACGUUGAAUUAUGGGUCCAUAAUCUCACAACUCAGAGGGGCACCUCUAGACUCUUGGAACUGUAUAUCUAUUGGAGACUUUAAGGUAAAGCUGAACAGAGAGACGUUUUUCUCCAGAAGCAGACAGCACCAUAGUCAUGGACAGCUUUCCCAAGAUCACAGAUCAAGACUUCUCUGCCGUCAUGAGACUCAUAACCUCUUAAUUUUUUCUUGCUUAUGCUUCUGUGAACAAUAGAAUUGGAAAAGGGGUGGUCCCGCGUGCACCCAUAGGGUAUACUUUUAUUUGUGGAGGAUUUUGCUGCCAACCUUAUACAUGGGCAAACUUAUGCCUUCAUGGAUGGAAGAUAAAGGGCUAAUAUGGGUUAGAAAUUUUAAUGGUACCUUUGUUUCUCCAUAAUCAUUCAGAAACAGAACACUGGUCCACUCUUGUUAACCUACAUCAUAGGUUGAAGAGAACAUUGCCAGGAGGCCUUCAUCCUUCCAGAUGGGCACCAUUUGUUGGGUCUUUUUCCGUGGUAUGAAGAAAAUGAAGCAAUGAUUAGAAAUUGGUCCCUCGGCCGGGCACAAUGGCUCAUGCCUGUAAUCCCAUCACUUUGGCAGGCCGAGGCGGGUGGAUCACCUGAGGUCAGGAGUUUGAGACCAGCCUGACCAAUGUGGUGAAACGCCAUCUCUACUAAAAAUACAAAAAUUAGCUGGGUGUGAUGGUGCACACCUGUAAUCCAGCUACUCGGGAGGCUGAGACAGGAGAAUUGCUUGAACCUGGGAGGCAGAGGUUGCAGUGAGCCAAGAUCACCCCACUGCAUUCCAGGUUGGGCAACAGAGCAAGACUCUGUCUCAAAAAAAAAAGAAGAAAGAAAGAAAUUGAUCCCUCAUAAUAGGCUGUAUAGCAGAUUCUACUGCAAAGGCUAUGGUUGCACAACAGACUUCUUUGAAUUUGCUUGCUAAACUUUUACUGGAUAAUACUGGGAUUACAGGUGUGAGCCACUGUGCCCAGCCUCUCCUGUUUAACUGUAUUCAUUCUAAUGUUUACUUACUUCUUUAAUUUGUAAAAUUGGGUCACUUAGAGUUUUUUUAGCCUAUCUUGCCAUUUAGCCACUGUUACUGAUAAUUUGGAUGGAAAAGAAAAAUAAAUUAUAUCACCUCUCA